rnacentral:rRNA from 1 species
UACAGAGGGGGCAAGCGUUGUUCGGAAUUACUGGGCGUAAAGGGCGCGUAGGCGGCCCUCUAAGUCAGACGUGAAAUCCCUCGGCUUAACCGGGGAACUGCGUCUGAUACUGGAUGGCUUGAGUUUGGGAGAGGGAUGCGGAAUUCCAGGUGUAGCGGUGAAAUGCGUAGAUAUCUGGAGGAACACCGGUGGCGAAGGCGGCAUCCUGGACCAACACUGACACUGAGGAGCGAAAGCCAGGGGAGCAAACGGG